rnacentral:rRNA from 1 species
UAAGACAGAGGUGCCGAGCGUUAGGCGGAAUCACUGGGCUUAAAGCGUGUGUAGGCGGGCCGUUAAGUGUCUUGUGAAAUCCCCCGGCUCAACCGGGGAACUGCUGGGCAUACUGGCGGCCUUGAGAGACCUAGGGGCAAGCGGAAAAAGCGGUGGAGCGGUGAAAUGCGUAGAUAUCGCUUGGA